rnacentral:lncRNA from 1 species
GUAAAUUGAUAUUAUAUUAUCAUACUUCUUAUAUGAUUUGCAUAUUAGAGAAUACUUUUAUAUAAUUGGUCGAGAGGACCUCCAGUAGUUGUUCAUGAAUUUGUUUAUUUCUCGAUAUAGGACGUUGACCAAACUUCUUUUUGUAAUCAAUGAGGCGAUAGUACAUGUAACACAAUCUGACUCAAUGUUAAAACUAUUUAUUUGCACAUGGCGUUAAUCUUUAAAUUGAAUACAAACACAAAAAAUUACUUUGAUGAUCAUAAUAAGACUUUUAGUAACAAGGAGUACAUAUUUUUGUGUGAACCAACAAAUAAAUUCAUGUGCCUGGCCAAUUCAAUGACACAAAUAUACUACAUGUAUUACCCUAUGAUGGUGAUAACGAGUGUGGAAAAUUAUUUGUUUUGGCCAAAAUUAAAGAAUAAGGAUUAAACGCUUUUUUAGAGGAAUGUAUUGGUUAAUAAACUGGACCAAGUCACUCACAAAUAUAUUUUCAGAGAAUGCAGUUUUCAUUAAAUUGGACAAACGUUCUAGUGAGUCCCUUGAAAACUGAAUCUGCUCCAUAUUUAUUUUUUGUUUUUGAGAGUAUACUUUUUUAUAAGUGUCAUC